GCCAGUGUGGUGUAGUGGUUUGAGUGCUGGACUAGGACUCCAGAAGACCAGGGUUCAAAUCUCCUCUCAGCCA